GUGGAUUAGAUACCCGGGUAGUCCACGCUGUAAACGAUGGGCACUAGGUGUGGGGGGUGUCGACUCCCUCCGUGCCGAAGCUAACGCAUUAAGUGCCCCGCCUGGGGAGUACGGCCGCAAGGCUAAAACUCAAAGGAAUUGACGGGGGCCCGCACAAGCAGCGGAGCAUGUGGUUUAAUUCGACGCAACGCGAAGAACCUUACCUGGGCUUGACAUGUGCCUGACCGACGUGGAAACACGUCUUCCCUUCGGGGCAGGUUCACAGGUGGUGCACGGCUGUCGUCAACU
rnacentral:rRNA from 1 species